rnacentral:lncRNA from 1 species
GAGUGAAAGUGUGACAGUGUGACACUAUGUCACAGUGUCGCGCUAUACGUCUGGCAGGCUCCCGCGCACGGCGGGCAUGUCGUGCGUGCGGCGCGCCGACGACGACGAGCUGCGCGCCGCCAUCGAGCUGUCCGUCAUACGCGCGUACUCGUCGCUGCAAGUGGCGCGGCGCGGUGCAGCGCACGUGGCCGACCUGCUGCCGCCGCCCGACUUCGCGGUACAUCGCAGUCGCGCCACGCCCAGCCCCUCCGCCCGCCGCCGC